UGAAAAGCUUAGAUAGAGCUAAGUAAAUGAUUGUAAAUCGAUCAAGGGAGGAAGCAUCUUGGACUGGAAGUGCUUCUAUCGUGUCAGUUAUUGAAUAUUCACUCUUGAGCUGAUCACACUCGUGAUCCGGAAUUCUUUCCGUUAUUGAACUUAAGUGGGCACAAUGAAUUGUGUCAACAAGGGUGGUACCGCGAAACGACCAUACAAGUCUCGUCCCUUUU
rnacentral:ncRNA from 1 species